rnacentral:misc_RNA from 1 species
UGACCCUCACCCUUGUGAUGUAAAAAUUUCAAGUGGUGGAUUUGGACUGUGCCGUAGCCGGCUCAUCCUGAAAUGCAUUAGCUGGCGCCUGUUAGAGUGCUUGGCAUAAUAUAAUAAUUAUCUGCGCCGUCGCCUGAUGCCUCUUCUGUGGAGCGCUGCUUACAAUCGUCCCUCGUGGACAAUGACACAAAG